UACGAAGGGGGCUAGCGUUGUUCGGAAUCACUGGGCGUAAAGAGCACGUAGGCGGACUUGUUAGUCAGGGGUGAAAUCCCGGGGCUCAACCCCGGAACUGCCCUUGAAACUGCAAGUCUUGAGUCCGAGAGAGGUGAGUGGAAUUCCUAGUGUAGAGGUGAAAUUCGUAGAUAUUCGCAAGAACACCAGUGGCGAAGGCGGCUCACUGGCCCGGUACUGACGCUGAGGUGCGAAAGCGUGGGGAGCAAACAGG
rnacentral:rRNA from 1 species